rnacentral:rRNA from 1 species
AUUGAACGCUGGCGGCAGGCCUAACACAUGCAAGUCGAGCGGAUGAGAGGAGCUUGCUCUUCGAUUUCAGCGGCGGACGGGUGAGUAAUGCCUAGGAAUCUGCCUGGUAGUGGGGGACAACGUUUCGAAAGGGAACGCUAAUAACACGCAUACGUCUACGGGAAGAAAGCGGGGGCUUCGGGCCUCGCGCCUUAGAUGAGCCUAGGUCGGAUUAGCUAGUUGGUGAGGUAAAGGCUCACCAAGRCGACGAUCCGUAACUGGUCUGAGAGGAUGAUCAGUCACACUGGAACUGAGACACGGUCCAGACYCUACGGGAGGRRAGRAGUGGGGAAUAUUGGACAAUGGGCGAAAGCCUGAUCCAGCCAUGCCGCGUGUGUGAAGAAGGUCUUCGGAUUGUAAAGCACUUUAAGUUGGGAGGAAGGGUAGUGACUUAAUVCGUUGCUMCUUUGMCGUUACCGACAGAAUAAGCACCGGCUGACUCGUGC